CUUAGUUCUGCAUGGGGCAUUGAAGCUUCCUGCCCAGUUCUUGCCAAAUAUCCCACCGAGAAUGGUUAACGGGAAACCAACUUUAAGAAAAGCAAUCCAAUCAUAGAACAUUCAUCUACAGACAAUUUCCAAACAGACACUUGAAGGACAAGGAAAGUGAUCAGAAUCAAAAUUAAGCAAGGGAAGGAAUGGGAAAGAAAGGGUACCCAAUCCUGAAGCACUGGCUAUUUAACUAGGCAAAGCUGAAGGAUAAAAGGGGCAAGUUUCUAAAGAAACUGUGGUGCUUCGUUGGUGGAGGAGUAUAACAGGUUAUUAAUUUAGUGUUAUCAACUGAGUAACAAAUAAUGCUCAAAACAUCAGCUUUUGAACUCCUUACGGUGGCCAAUUUACGUUAUCAACUCAAGCGAUAAUACAAUAUUAAAGCUGUAAAUAAUA